CGUACUGAACUGGAAAUACAUAACCAUUUACUAUCAAGAAAAAAAUCAGGGACAUAGGUCCUCAAACCAUGAGGACUCACCAACUGUACGAAUGUAGAUGGAGGUACUCGAAGAUCACUGUCGCUGCUGAGACUGAGCACCUGAAUCUACAUCACGAGAAAAUAUAGAACACAGAAGAGUAUGAGAAACAGUACUUGGGAAUGUACUGAGUAUGUGGGGG
rnacentral:lncRNA from 1 species